rnacentral:rRNA from 1 species
AGUUUGAUCAUGGCUCAGAUUGAACGCUGGCGGCAGGCCUAACACAUGCAAGUCGAGCGGAUGACGGGAGCUUGCUCCCUGAUUUAGCGGCGGACGGGUGAGUAAUGCCUAGGAAUCUGCCUGGUAGUGGGGGAUAACGUUCCGAAAGGAACGCUAAUACCGCAUACGUCCUACGGGAGAAAGCAGGGGACCUUCGGGCCUUGCGCUAUCAGAUGAGCCUAGGUCGGAUUAGCUAGUUGGUGAGGUAAUGGCUCACCAAGGCGACGAUCCGUAACUGGUCUGAGAGGAUGAUCAGUCACACUGGAACUGAGACACGGUCCAGACUCCUACGGGAGGCAGCAGUGGGGAAUAUUGGACAAUGGGCG